GUAUAGUUGAUUUAAACAAUGCUGUGUUAAUUUCCACUGUACAGCAAAGUUAUUCAGUUAUAUAUACAUAUAUAUAGUAUAUACACAUUCUUUUUUAUAUUCUUUUCCAUUAUGGCUUGUUAUAGGAUACUGAAUAUAGUUCCUUGUGCUAUAUAGAAUGACCUUGUUUUUUAUCCAUUCUGCAUACAAUAGCUUGCAUUUGCCGAGUUCCUGUUGUGGCGCAGCAGAAAAGAAUCAGACGGUAUCCAUGACGAUGCGGAUUCAAUCCCUGGCCUCACUCACUGGGUCUGGGAUCUGGCGUUGUUGUGAGCUGUGUGUAGCGUAGGUCACAGAUGCACUUCGGAUCUGACGUUGCUGUGGCUGUGGCAUAGACCGGCAGCAGCAGCUCCAAUUCGACUCCUGGCCUGCGAACUUCCAUAUGCCUUGGGUGUGGCCCUAAAAAGCAAAAAAAAAAAGUUUACAUUUGCUAAUCCCAAACUCCCAUUCCAUCCCUCUCCCAACCUGCUCCCCAAUGGCAACCACAAGUCUGUUUUCUAUGUCUGUGAGUCUGAUUGUGUUUUGAAUCUAUUCUUUUAAAAGUCCCUUCAAUUAGAAAUGAAAAGGUUAUUUUAAAAAAAUAAUAAUCUAACCAAUUAACAAGGAUACAAUUCUGUCUGUUAAAACAUUUUGACAAUGAUGUCGAAAUUAGCCAAUUUUCCUAUAAAUUAUUAUUCUAUUUUCAAAAGAAAAUCAAAGCAUAAACUUCCCUUUAUCUCUUAGAUGAAUGGAAUAAUAUAUGAAAAGCUAUUAAUAUACUUUAAAAGCAGCCAACAGCCCCAUAACAGAAAAAAAAUAUUCUUGUAUAACACCUAUAAGCUAAUAUGAAAAAUCCGUUUCCAUUAAGUUCUGACCUUCCAGGUCACUUAAACUCUCCUUUCACUCAGAUCUAAACCAGAGAAGUAACAUUCUGCUUCGCUCAUAAAUAUGUUGAAAAACAUGUGAAACCCCUCUUGUAAACUCCUCAUUAUUUAUUCAUCCAACCAACCAAAAUGUAUUGACCACUUUGUACUUUUUAGGGUUAUAUACAUAACUAAGACACAUGUAUAAAACUAAUUAAUCAUAUACAUAACUAAUUAGAGCUAUGCCUCUAAUUUUUUGAGUUAGAGAAAUUCACAACUCUAUUGAUUAUCCAGCAGCAUAAUUAUAACUAAUGCAACUCUAUCUGGAAACUCUAUGCACAAUUCCUAGUGUUUGUUGUCACAUACUGGUUAUGAGGUCUUUGGCAUUCGUGCCCUCUUACUGGGGCAACCCAUGUCUUCUGAAGAGGGAUGUGAAAGGAAUGGGGUUAUUCUGAGCUUGGAAAACAGAAGUACAAAGCUAUUUUAGAAGGCACUGUGGGAGAAAUGAGAAAUGACAUCUAAACAAAACUAGAGGAACAGGGAAGAUUUUGCAGAGAAAGUGAAACAAAUUUUAAAAAAUCAGGUCUGAGUCAUCUAGGCAGGGACUUCUAGCCUGUGAGAAAAUUAAUUUCUGGGGGUUUGUUGUUGUCGUUCAUUUGUUCAAAAAGAAAGAAGUGUUUAUUCAGAUAAGAGAUGCUGCUAGCAUAGUGGGACGACCUCCUGAUGUUAGGGAGAGCCAAUCCCAAGGAGACACCUGCUGACCUGCUGAUUGGUUGGGGAAAGAGGGGUCUUACGAUAUACUUGCUGGUUGGUUGGAGGCAGAUAAGACCUCUAUAGGGGCAGGGUGAGGAGGGGGCUACAUGCCUUUCUUAGUAGGGGGCAGGAAGGAGUAGGCCAGGUUGCUCAAGUUUGCUCCGCCCUCAGGUUGGUGGAGGGGGUCUGUCAUUUAAGCCAUGUCUAUGGUGUUUUGUUAUAUGGCAGCUCUAGCAGCCACACACAGUCCCCUAUGACUAGAGAUAGGAGAAGGGAUCAGAAAAGGUAGAAGGUGAGGCUCAGAUGAGUUCCUAUAGAGGUGCUAGCUGCCAUCAUGAUUACCUCUCACUCAUGGGGUGUGGCCUUGGUAGCAGGAUAAUUCCUGAUGAGUCCCUUCCUCUACAGAAGCCAUCUCUCUCCCUGAUGCAAUACCCUGUGCCCACUCUUGUGACUUUACAUCUUGAGGCUGCAAUGCAGGAAGAAAAGACCUGUGAAGGCAUCCAUUCCAACAGCUGAGGCACAGGGCCUGACCCAGCUUCUGGAGCUGCCUGGGGUGUUGCCACUUGCAAGCUGGUUCUCUAGCCUCCCUUCAAUUCUUUAAGCCUCAAUAUCUUUUAAAUAAAGUCUACUUUGCUUAGGAAAGACAGAAUCAUUUCCUGUUUCAGCUAAGGUCCUUGGUUGCAAACAUUUCCAUCACUUUCCUGACUGAAGAAUGAGAAAGAUAGAUGACUAGACCAACAGGAUUGCUGGGUGGCACUGGGGAGCAAAUUUACUUAAGAAAUAACUUUGUAAAAUUAUCACUCCUCAAUGGUGUUAUUUUUCCCAGCAGUAUUCUGCAGCCUGAAGGUCCCAUCAUGGCUCAGCAGCAACGAACCCAACAAGUAUCCAUAAGGAUGUAGUUUCAAUCCCUUGCCUCGCUCAGUGGGUUAAGGAUCUGGCAUUGCCGUGAGCUAUGGUGUAGGUCACGGACUCAACUCGGAUCCCAUGUUGAUGUGGCUGUGGUAUUGGCCAGCAGCUGUAGCUCUAAUUCCACCCCUAGCCUGGGAACUUCCAUAUGCCAUGGGUGUGGCCCUAAAAAAGAAAAAAAAUAUUUCCCUGAGAUAUUUUGUAUUCAUCCAUAAGAUAGAGGAAUUUUUUGUUUGUUUUUGUUUUUGUUUUUUAGUAUUACUUCUGGACCUCCCAUUUUGGCUCAGUGGAAACAAUGUGACUAGGACCCAUGAGGAUGCAGGUUCAACUCCUGGCUUUGUUCAGUGGGCUAAGGAUCCGGCAUCGCCAUGAGCUAUGGCAUAACCCCCCGUCACAGAUGCAGCUCGGAUCUGGCAUUGCUGUGGCUGUGGUGUAGGCCAGUAGCUGUAGCUCCAAUUUGACGCCUAGCCUGAGAACUUCCAU
rnacentral:lncRNA from 1 species